rnacentral:rRNA from 1 species
GACGAACGCUGGCGGCGUGCCUAAUACAUGCAAGUCGAACGCAGUGGGGACGGGUGAGUAACACGUGGGUAACCUCCCAUCAGAGGGGAUAACACUUAGAAACAGGUGCUAAAAUCGAUACUGAUGGAUGGACCCGCGGUGCAUUAGCUAGUUGGUGAGGUAACGGCUAACCAAGGCCACGAUGCAUAGCUGACCUGAGAGGGUGAUCGGCCACACUGGAACUGGGACACGGCCCAGACUCCUACGGGAGGCAGCAGUGGGGAAUCGUCGGCAAUGGGCGAAAGUCUGACCGAGCAACGACGCGUGAGUGAAGAAGGUUUUCGGAUCGUAAAACACUGUGGUUAGAGAGGCGGUAUCUAACCAGAAAGCCACGGCUAACUACGUGCCAGCAGCCGCGGUAAUUC